CAGUCGCCGCGGGAAAACGAAGGGUGCAAGCGUUAAUCGGAAUUACUGGGCGUAAAGCGCGCGUAGGUGGUGGUUUAAGUCCGUUGUGAAAGCCCUGGGCUCAACCUGGGAAUUGCAGUGGAUACUGGGUCACUAGAGUGUGGUAGAGGAUAGUGGAAUUUCCGGUGUAGCAGUGAAAUGCGUAGAGAUCGGAAGGAACAUCUGUGGCGAAGGCGACUAUCUGGGCCAACACUGACACUGAGGCACGAAAGCGUGGGGAGCAAACAGGAUUAGAUACCCCUGUAGUCCCUGUCUCUUAUAC
rnacentral:rRNA from 1 species